GACGAACGUUGGCGGCGUGCUUAACACAUGCAAGUCGAACGGAAAGGCCCUGCUUUUGUGGGGUGCUCGAGUGGCGAACGGGUGAGUAACACGUGAGUAACCUGCCCUUGACUUUGGGAUAACUUCAGGAAACUGGGGCUAAUACCGGAUAGGAGCUCCUGCUGCAUGGUGGGGGUUGGAAAGUUUCGGCGGUUGGGGAUGGACUCGCGGCUUAUCAGCUUGUUGGUGGGGUAGUGGCUUACCAAGGCUUUGACGGGUAGCCGGCCUGAGAGGGUGACCGGCCACAUUGGGACUGAGAUACGGCCCAGACUCCUACGGGAGGCAGCAGUGGGGAAUAUUGCACAAUGGGCGGAAGCCUGAUGCAGCAACGCCGCGUGCGGGAUGACGGCCUUCGGGUUGUAAACCGCUUUCGCCUGUGACGAAGCGUGAGUGACGGUAAUGGGUAAAGAAGCACCGGCUAACUACGUGCCAGCAGCCGCGGUGAUACGUAGGGUGCGAGCGUUGUCCGGAUUUAUUGGGCGUAAAGGGCUCGUAGGUGGUUGAUCGCGUCGGAAGUGUAAUCUUGGGGCUUAACCCUGAGCGUGCUUUCGAUACGGGUUGACUUGAGGAAGGUAGGGGAGAAUGGAAUUCCUGGUGGAGCGGUGGAAUGCGCAGAUAUCAGGAGGAACACCAGUGGCGAAGGCGGUUCUCUGGGCCUUUCCUGACGCUGAGGAGCGAAAGCGUGGGGAGCGAACAGGCUUAGAUACCCUGGUAGUCCACGCUGUAAACGGUGGGUACUAGGUGUGGGGUCCAUUCCACGGGUUCCGUGCCGUAGCUAACGCUUUAAGUACCCCGCCUGGGGAGUACGGCCGCAAGGCUAAAACUCAAAGGAAUUGACGGGGCCCCGCACAAGCGGCGGAGCAUGCGGAUUAAUUCGAUGCAACGCGUAGAACCUUACCUGGGUUUGACAUGGAUCGGGAGUGCUCAGAGAUGGGUGUGCCUCUUUUGGGGUCGGUUCACAGGUGGUGCAUGGCUGUCGUCAGCUCGUGUCGUGAGAUGUUGGGUUAAGUCCCGCAACGAGCGCAACCCUUGUUCACUGUUGCCAGCACGUUAUGGUGGGGACUCAGUGGAGACCGCCGGGGUCAACUCGGAGGAAGGUGGGGAUGACGUCAAGUCAUCAUACCCCUUAUGUCCAGGGCUUCACGCAUGCUACAAUGGCUGGUACAGAGAGUGGCGAGCCUGUGAGGGUGAGCGAAUCUCGGAAAGCCGGUCUCAGUUCGGAUUGGGGUCUGCAACUCGACCUCAUGAAGUCGGAGUCGCUAGUAAUCGCAGAUCAGCAACGCUGCGGUGAAUACGUUCCCGGGGCU
rnacentral:rRNA from 1 species